rnacentral:rRNA from 1 species
CCUACGGGGAGCAGCAGUGGGGAAUAUUGGACAAUGGGCGAAAGCCUGAUCCAGCCAUGCCGCGUGUGUGAAGAAGGCCUUCGGGUUGUAAAGCACUUUCAGUGGGGAAGAAAGCCUUGGGGCUAAUACCCUCGAGGAAGGACAUCACCCACAGAAGAAGCACCGGCUAACUCCGUGCCAGCAGCCGCGGUAAUACGGAGGGUGCGAGCGUUAAUCGGAAUUACUGGGCGUAAAGCGCGCGUAGGCGGUCUGAUAAGCCGGUUGUGAAAGCCCCGGGCUCAACCUGGGAACGGCAUCCGGAACUGUCAGGCUAGAGUGCAGGAGAGGAAGGUAGAAUUCCCUGUGUAGCGGUGAAAUGCGUAGAGAUCGGGAGGAAUACCAGUGGCGAAGGCGGCCUUCUGGACUGACACUGACGCUGAGGUGCGAAAGCGUGGGUAGCAAACAGGAUUAGAUACCCUGGUAGUC